rnacentral:rRNA from 1 species
GACGAACGCUGGCGGCGUGCUUAACACAUGCAAGUCGAACGGAAAGGCCCUGCUUUUGUGGGGUGCUCGAGUGGCGAACGGGUGAGUAACACGUGAGUAACCUGCCCUUGACUUUGGGAUAACGUCAGGAAACUGGGGCUAAUACCGGAUAUGAGCUCCUGCUGCAUGGUGGGGGUUGGAAAGUUUCGGCGGUUGGGGAUGGACUCGCGGCUUAUCAGCUUGUUGGUGGGGUAGUGGCUUACCAAGGCUUUGACGGGUAGCCGGCCUGGGAGGGUGACCGGCCACAUUGGGACUGAGAUACGGCCCAGACUCCUACGGGAGGCAGCAGUGGGGAAUAUUGCACAAUGGGCGGAAGCCUGAUGCAGCAACGCCGCGUGCGGGAUGACGGCCUUCGGGUUGUAAACCGCUUUCGCCUGUGACGAAGCGUGAGUGACGGUAAUGGGUAAAGAAGCACCGGCUAACUACGUG